GGAAUAUAGCUCAGCUGGUAGAGUGUUUGCCUUGCAUACACAAGGCCCUGGGUUUGAUCCUCAACACCA
rnacentral:tRNA from 1 species